rnacentral:rRNA from 1 species
UACGGAGGGGGCUAGCGUUGUUCGGAAUUACUGGGCGUAAAGCGCACGUAGGCGGCUUUGUAAGUUAGAGGUGAAAGCCCGGAGCUCAACUCCGGAAUUGCCUUUAAGACUGCAUCGCUUGAAUCAUGGAGAGGUGAGUGGAAUUCCGAGUGUAGAGGUGAAAUUCGUAGAUAUUCGGAAGAACACCAGUGGCGAAGGCGACUCACUGGACAUGUAUUGACGCUGAGG